CAGCAGCCGCGGGAAUACGGAGGGGGCAAGCGUUAUCCGGAAUUAUUGGGCGUAAAGGGUACGUAGGUGGCCUUUUAAGCGUAGGGUAUAAGGCAAUGGCUCAACCAUUGUUCGCCCUAUGAACUGGAAGGCUUGAGUGCAGGAGGGGAAAGCGGAAUUCCUAGUGUAGCGGUGGAAUGCAUAGAUAUUAGGAGGAACAUCAGCGGCGAAGGCGGCUUUCUGGACUGCAACUGACACUGAGGUACGAAAGCGUGGGGAGCAAACAGGAUUAGAUACCCGUGUAGUCCCUGUCUCUUAUACA
rnacentral:rRNA from 1 species